UUAAGCUACAAAGAGCAUAUAGGUGGAUGCCUUGGCAUCAAGCGCCGAAGAAGGACGCGAUAAGCUGCGAAAAGCCCCGAUUAGCCGCAAAUGGGCAACGAGUCGGGGAUCUCCGAAUGCGGAAACGCACCCGUAAGGGUAUCCCGUAAUGAAUUCAUAGUUACGAGGAAGGGAACCCGGGGAACUGAAACAUCUUAGUACCCGGAGGAAAAGAAAGUAAACAAACGAUUACCUCAGUAGUGGCGAGCGAAAGGGUAACAGCCCAAACCUGUUUCAGAAAUGGGGCAGGGGUUCGGACCGUGACAUGGCAAGAGGAUCGGUAGUCGAAGCUCACUGGAAAGGAGCGCCAAAGAGGGUGACAGCCCCGUAAACGAAAUCGAUUUGAAGCCUAACGGUAUCCAGAGUACGGCGGGACACGAGAAACCUUGCCGGAAGAUAGGAGGUCCAUCUCCUAAGGCUAAAUACGACUUGAUGACCGAUAGCGUAUAGUACCGUGAGGGAAAGGUGAAAAGCACCCCGGGAGGGGAGUGAAAGAGAACCUGAAACCAUAUGCUUACAAGCAGCGAGAGGGCUAUGCCCCGUAAGGGGAAUGCCUGAUUUCGUACUUUUUGUAGAACGGGCCGGCGAGUUACGCGGUGCGGCGAGGUUAAGCGAUUAAGUCGCGGAGCCGAAGCGAGAGCGAGUCUGAAAUGGGCGCGGGAGCAAUCCCUGAGUCGCAUAGCGUAGACCCGAAACCAGAUGACCUAACCAUGAGCAGGAUGAAGCGGCGGUAAAACGCCGUGGAGGUCCGAACACACGCCUGUUGAAAUAGUCGGUGAUGACUUGUGGUUAGCGGAGAAAUUCCAAUCGAAUUUGGAGAUAGCUGGGUCUCCUCGAAAUAGCUUGAGGGCUAGCCUCUGCAAGAGAAUGCCGGGGGUAGAGCACUGAAUGGGCUAGGGGCCUUCACGGGUUACCGAACCUUAUCAAACUGCGAAUACCGGUAAUUUACGGCAGGGAGUCAGACUGCGAGAGAUAAGUUCCGUAGUCAAAAGGGAAAAAGCCCAGAUCCACAGCUAAGGUCCCAAAGUACAGGUUAAGUUGUAAAGGAUGUGUCGUCGCUAAAACAACCAGGAUGUUGGCUUAGAAGCAGCCACUCAUUUAAAGAGUGCGUAAUAGCUCACUGGUCGAGUAACGGCGCGCCGAAGAUUAACGGGGAUAAAACCUGUCACCGAAGCUUGGGGAUUGCAUUUAUUUGCAAUCGGUAGAGGAGCAAUGCAUACGGGCAGAAGCGUUAGCGGAAGCAGGCGUGGACUGUAUGCAAGAGAGAAUGCCGGCAUGAGUAGCGAGAGUGAAGUGAGAAACUUUACCGUCGAAUAUCCGAGGUUUCCUGGGGAAGGUUCGUCCACCCAGGGUAAGUCAGGACCUAAGCCGAGGCCGAAAGGCGUAGGUGAUGGACAACAGGUAGAUAUUCCUGUACUCGACCAUACGAUCAAGACCUCUGCAGUGACACAGGAGGAUAACCGUACCCGCGAAUGGAAAUGCGGGGCCAAGCACAAAGGGUGGCGCGCAGUUAAGUACACGCGUCAUUAAGCCUAAUGUGUGAUGGGUAACGAAAUUUAGUAGGGAAAUCGGUGAUUUCACACUGGCGAGAAAAGCUGCGAUUAGGAGUAUGGUUUUGACCUGUACCGCAAACCGACACAGGUGGAUGAGGCGAAAAGCCUAAGACGGACGGGAGAACCCUUGUUAAGGAACUCGGCAAAAUCACCCCGUAACUUCGGGAGAAGGGGAGCCUACGCAAGUAGGCCGCAGAGAAAAGGCCCAAGCGACUGUUUAUCAAAAACACAGGUUUCUGCGAAAGCGCAAGCUGACGUAUAGGAGCUGACGCCUGCCCGGUGCUGGAAGGUCAAGGGGAAGUGUUAGGCGCAAGCCAAAGCAUAGAACUUAAGCCCCAGUGAACGGCGGCCGUAACUAUAACGGUCCUAAGGUAGCGAAAUUCCUUGUCGGGUAAGUUCCGACCCGCAUGAAUGGCGUAACGACUUGGGCGCUGUCUCGACAGGGGGCCCGGCGAAAUUGUAGUAUACGUGAAGAUGCGUAUUACCCGCGACUGGACGGAAAGACCCCGUAGAGCUUUACUGUAGCCUGAUAUUGAGUUCCGGCAAUGAAUGUACAGGAUAGGUGGGAGGCUUUGAAGCAGAGGCGUCAGCUUUUGUGGAGCCAACCUUGGGAUACCACCCUUUCCUUGCUGGAAUUCUAACGCCGUGCCCGUGACGGGGCGGCGGACAGUGUCAGGCGGGCAGUUUGACUGGGGCGGUCGCCUCCUAAAGAGUAACGGAGGCGUUCAAAGGUUCCCUCAGAAUGGUUGGAAACCAUUCGCAGAGUGUAAAGGCAGAAGGGAGCUUAACUGCGAGACCUACAAGUCGAGCAGGUACGAAAGUAGGACUUAGUGAUCCGGCGGUAUGAGAAUGGAAUUGCCGUCGCUUAUCGGAUAAAAGUUACCUCGGGGAUAACAGGCUUAUCUCCCCCAAGAGUUCACAUCGACGGGGAGGUUUGGCACCUCGAUGUCGGCUCAUCACAUCCUGGGGCUGUAGUAGGUCCCAAGGGUUCGGCUGUUCGCCGAUUAAAGUGGUACGCGAGCUGGGUUCAGAACGUCGUGAGACAGUUCGGUCCCUAUCCAUCGUGGGCGCAGGAUAUUUGAGAGGAUUUGUCCCUAGUACGAGAGGACCGGGAUGAACGCACCUAUCGUCCACCAGUUGCAUCGCCAUCAUAGAUGCAUAGCUGGGUAGCGAAGUGCGGAACGGAUAAACGCUGAAGGCAUCUAAGCGUGAAACCGACCUCAAGAUUAGAUAUCCCAUAUCAUAAGAUAGUAAGAUCCCUUGCAGACUACAAGGUUGAUAGGUCGGAGGUGUAAGCACAGCAAUGUGUUCAGCUGACCGAUACUAAUAGAUCGAGGGCUUAAUC
rnacentral:rRNA from 1 species